GUCCUAGCCGUAAACGUUGGAUGCUAGGUGUGGGGGGAUAUCGACCCCUUCCGUGCCGAAGCUAACGCAUUAAGCAUCCCGCCUGGGGAGUACGGCCGCAAGGCUAAAACUCAAAGGAAUUGACGGGGGCCCGCACAAGCGGCGGAGCAUGUGGCUUAAUUCGAUGCAACGCGAAGAACCUUACCUGGGCUUGACAUGCGGGGUGAAACCGUGGAAACACGGCGCUCCUCGGAGCCCGCACAGGUGGUGCAUGGCUGUCGU
rnacentral:rRNA from 1 species